rnacentral:rRNA from 1 species
AUUGAACGCUGGCGGCAUGCCUUACACAUGCAAGUCGAACGGCAGCACGGGUGCUUGCACCUGGUGGCGAGUGGCGAACGGGUGAGUAAUACAUCGGAACAUGUCCUGUAGUGGGGGAUAGCCCGGCGAAAGCCGGAUUAAUACCGCAUACGGUCUACGGAUGAAAGCGGGGGACCUUCGGGCCUCGCGCUAUAGGGUUGGCCGAUGGCUGAUUAGCUAGUUGGUGGGGUAAAGGCCUACCAAGGCGACGAUCAGUAGCUGGUCUGAGAGGACGACCAGCCACACUGGGACUGAGACACGGCCCAGACUCCUACGGGAGGCAGCAGUGGGGAAUUUUGGACAAUGGGCGAAAGCCUGAUCCAGCAAUGCCGCGUGUGUGAAGAAGGCCUUCGGGUUGUAAAGCACUUUUGUCCGGAAAGAAAUCCUUGGCUCUAAUACAGUCGGGGGAUGACGGUACCGGAAGAAUAAGCACCGGCUAACUACGUG